rnacentral:lncRNA from 10 species
CAGUCCUGGGCAUGAAUCUUUCGGACUGCAAAUGCCCGCUGAAUAUGGACUCCAACGGUGCCCUAGGGGAUGGUGGAGCCACCAGAUGGAAGGAGCCUGGUGAUCCCGAGAAGGAGAGAUGCCUCGCUGACCUGAACAUCUUUCCAGAACUGUUAAGUGAGUUAGAAAUGAACUUCUACUAUACAAAGCCGCUGAAAUUUGGGCAUCUGUUACUUUAGUUGGCCUACUGAAGCUUCUCUCCUCUCCUCACUUACCUCUCCAGAUGCAAUGGCAGGUCUUUCGGGG